ACAGCACAAAGGUUCAAGAAACAAGUGCAAACAGAUUCGGCAACCCAGCAAUUAAUUCCAUCAACGACUCAAGGGAAUGACAAUAAGGUAUGCAACACAAGAGAUUUUUUUUUUCUGGAUUUAAACAGAACAUAAACACAAGACAAAACUGGACAGAAAAUUUCGGACAACAACUAAACAACAAAGACAGAUUUCUGACAAGGAAACAACCAAGACAGAUUUCUGACAAGGAAACAACAAAGACAGAUUUCGGACUUGACAAACCCGAGCACUUGAGCUACGAAUUUAGAAGACUAAAAUAGAUCUAAAAACGAUAAAAAAGGAUAUUCGUGAUACCUCUAACUAGCUCUGAUGCCAGCUGAUGCGAGACGCGGAAGCUACUUCGGAUCUAGAGGAACACGAUGAAGAUUUGACGGAGUUGAACCCGAACUUGGACCACUCAAGAACAGAUUUAACGGUAGAGGACGCCACAAUCAAGUAUGUGUGCUUGAUUGAUAAGUCAAGAACAGCCUAGGAUCAACUCUAGGAUGUUCAACUUAGCUUUUACAAGCUAAGGGAAUUUUGCCACAAGGAAUGGAUGAAAUUCUGGAAAAUUUUAUUCAAUACUCUCAAAAAACU
rnacentral:lncRNA from 1 species